rnacentral:lncRNA from 1 species
AAAAACCAGAAGAAAAAAGAGAGAAAGCAAGCAAGUAAGAAAGGGAGAAGUAGCUUUUGUCAUGGCAGGCUCCAAGAUGGCAAGCUCCCUGUGUUUGGCCGCUCUCGUGGUCACGGCCGUUCUAUCAUCAUGUGUUGCAGGUGGAGGUUAUCUUGCACUGCAUCCUUUCCUGAUCUGUCGGUCAUAACCAACAUAAUUUGAAUCUGAUUUUUUUUCGAACUAUUUCUUGGGCUAAACUAUCGGAUCGGGAUUUUGUGCAUGUGCAGAGAACGAAGGGUGCUUGCCGCUGAAGGGGUACUGCCCUGAAGACGACUGCAAGGAUUUCUGCAUGAGAAGUCGAUUGAGAGGCCGUUGCAUCACCAAAGGCACGAUGCCCUACUGUUGUUGUAGUAGGGAUACUACCCCUAACUGGACGACGGCUGCUACUCCUUUUCAGGGUUGAUGAGGAGAUGGGGACAAACGCCAUGUAGCAGGUGGAUGUAUGCAUGGUAAUAAGAUAAUAAAUUUGAUUAACUAGGCAGUUGUGCAAGUGGUUCAAUCCGUCGGUGACCAACAUUCUUGUUGGGGAGGCUGGGCUGGUUGCCUUGGUCAUGCUUCUUGUGCCAUGUUUGGUUACAUGUUUCUAUUUUGGACACUUUGCAUUCGUAGCCGGACUCAGAGUGAAUAUGGAUUAAAAAACAAGUUUUGCACAUUGUUUGUGUGGAUGCGUUCUCUCCAGCUUAGCUCUGCA